rnacentral:tmRNA from 1 species
UCAUUCUUAAAGCAGAAGACGCCUGGCUAAACAUGUAGACGCUUUUGUAGAAGCUAUCUAGGACAGGGGUUCGACUCCCCUCGCCUCCACCA